rnacentral:tRNA from 5 species
GCGACCAUAGCUCAAUUGGCUAGAGCAAUUCCCUGUCACGGAAUAGGUUGGCGGUUCGAGUCCGCUUGGUCGCG